rnacentral:rRNA from 1 species
UACAGAGGGCGCGAGCGUUGUCCGGAAUCACUGGGCGUAAAGGGCGCGUAGGCGGCUUUAUAAGUCGGGGGUGAAAGCCUGUGGCUCAACCACAGAAUUGCCUUCGAUACUGUAGAGCUUGAGACCGGAAGAGGUAAGUGGAACUGCGAGUGUAGAGGUGAAAUUCGUAGAUAUUCGCAAGAACACCAGUGGCGAAGGCGGCUUACUGGUCCGGUUCUGACGCUGAGGCGCGAAAAGCGUGGGGAG